CGUGCAUGUGCAUCAUGAAGUUUGCUUUGAAUAUAUGUUUUGCAUGGGUUAUAAUUUAUGUGUGUUUUAAUUUUUUUUUUAACGUAAUAUAUGACAUUAACUUUUUAAAGCAACAACAUCGACAACAUUCUUCAAAACGUCUCAGAGUGUUUUCCAUCGAAAAGGGACGACGUUUGCAGCAACAUCUAUCGAGUCGAACACAUGAUCAUCAGAAGCGAGGGGACCAAACUGGAAUCUAACAAUCGUGGUCCUGAUGCUGCGGAGCACACAAGUGUGAGAAUCCAUGACUUCAGGAGGAAUCGAUGGCUUUGUGUGGCUGAUGUCCUCAGAGACUCUGGUAAGUGUUACCGCACAGGUCUUUUCAGCAGUGCUUAGAUGAAAACCACACCGUGAAGUGAUGCCACAUGACUGGAUACUGUCGACGUUUAUGAUGCUGAACAAAUAUUCAUGACUGAAGGGAUUGUGCUUUCUUUAAGAUUGAGUAUAUUAGGCUUUAGGCACAAGCAUAAAACACUUAUUUUGAGCGGCUACCGAAAGAUAGCUAUUUUGUUUAUUCAUUAUAUAUCAAUUUGUUAUUUAAAUAUAAUCUACCAGGCCUUUAGUGUCAUUUUGGAGUAAUUUGUUGCUAAACAUUUAAAAAGCCCCACAAAAAGGAAAAGGAAAAGACCCUGCAGUUAGGACUAGAUUAAAUUUCAGGAUUGUUUUAAUUGAUUUUUAAUUGGCAAUGAUGGUAAAAUCUGGUUACAUUCAAACAUUUGGGUCAGAUAGAUUGUUUUUUUUUUUUUUAGUUUUUGAAAGAAGUCUCUUGUUUUUGAUCAAAAACAGAAUUAUUGUGAAAUGUUUUUACAAUUUAAAAAAGAAGCUGAAUUUUCAGCAGUCAUUACUCCAGUCUUCAAUGUCACAUGAUAAUUCAGAAAUUAUUGUAAUAUGCUAAUUUGCUGCUCAAGAAAAAUGUCUUAUUAUUAUAAAUGUUGAAACAGACCACUUAAAAAUAUAUGAAGCAGCACAACUGUGACACAUUUUGUUUUUAAGAAUUCUAAGAUAUUUUAAAAGAACAACAAUUAUUAUUUAUUUAUUUUUAAGUAAUUGAAUAAAAAUAUUAACUUUUGAAUUAGGGUGUACUUACAAUUUGUUAAUUUGGGAUACUUUUUAACCACAGUGACUUAAAUGUUACAUUUCUCAAGUGGUUGUGUUUUUUUUUUCCUUUGUAAAUAUGACUUUGACGUUGUUUUUGGUUGCAGGUAGAUCAGUUUGACUUGUGGGGUAAUACUAGCUGACCCACCAAAACCUGCAUGCACAUGCCCAAAUCAUGACUCAUGAAUAAUGGUAACCAGCAUUUAAAAUAGUCAUUCAAAUGAUCAUUAGCUGAAUCUAGUAUAGAGAAGUUUGUUGGUCAUUGCUCCUAGAAAUGUCCCAGAUAUCAUUCAGUCAUUUGCAGGAACAUGCUUUUCACUUUAUAAUUAUAUUCAUUUCUAAGUCCAUUUGGAUUUUGGAUCACUAGAUGGAGCCACUUCAUCAGAUCUAGUUAUAUAACCAAUGGGUUCGAUGAAAUUUUAUGAUCAAAAAUAGCGUGAGAUCUCACUCUCAAUCUGUAGCUCUUGAUUGCAUUCAUCAUUAGUAUAACAGCAGAAACCCGCCUGGAAUGUGUCGCUCCUGGUUAGUAGUUUUUGCUGAUUGUUAGAAUGAAUCCAAACAAAUUAAGCAGUGCAUCUUGGGGGAUAAGUGAAACAUAUUUAAUAGAGUCAUAUGGUAUUUCAUGAAUUCACUUGUACCUGAAAUUCUGCGUUUCUGAAUGAUUAAUUUAUUAUGAUUUCAUGUCAGUACAUGUUUCCACGCAGCUACACUUCAGGCUCUUACUGAUAUUAUUUGUUUUGGGAGAGUGGCGUGAUUUUCCCCACGGUGCUAUGAGCGUUACACUUCCUCAUAUUGUGGCGUAGAUCCAUUAGUCUAAUCUCUGGCUGUAAUUGGCUGGUUCUGGCACUCAGAGCGAGGUUAUGCAACAAAGCCCAACAGCACACUUUUGUUAAUGUUUAAAGAGUCAUUUGGGUAGCAAGAGCAAUUUUAUCUAACUUCAGUUGCCGCUUAGCUCGGAUCAUUUUCUGGAUCUGAUUCUGGUGUGCAGCGGUGCUGGGAUUAAUAUGUGUGUGUGAGUGUGUAUGAGAGAGGGGCCAUCUUUACUUGCAGGUGUGUGUGUGUGUGUGUGUGAGAGAUAGCGCUUGAGUCACUGGAAUCCCUCAGGAUCAAGUGUGCUAAUUUAGCAUACUUCUCUUUGCUACCAAAUCAAUAUAAUUGCAAAGCCAAAGAUGAAUGUUGAAAUUUCUAAAAUGGUAAUAUUUCUAUUUUCAACAAAC
ensembl:lncRNA